rnacentral:rRNA from 1 species
AGGUCUGACCUGCUCGCUGACAUUUAGUUGAAGGGCCGCAGUAUUCUGACUGUGCAAAGGUAGCAUAAUAAUUAGCUUUUUUAUUGGAAGCUUGUAUGAAUGGUUGGACGAGGAAUUUACUGUCUCAAUUUUAUUUAAUUUGAAUUUAACUUUUUAGUAAAAAGGCUUGGAUGAUUUUAAAAGACGAGAAGACCCUAUAGAGUUUUAUAUUAGUUUGAUUAUUUUUAUUUUUGGUAAUUUUAAUUUUUAAUUUUUAUUAGUAUUUGAUUGGGGUGAUUGAAAAAUUUAAUAAACUUUUUCUUUUUAUUUCAUUGAUUUAUGUUUUUUGAUCCAGUGUUUCUGAUUAUAAGAUUAAAUUACCUUAGGGAUAACAGCGUUAUUUCUUUUGAGAGUUCUUAUCGAAAUUGAAGUUUGCGACCUCGAUGUUGGAUUAAAAUUUAUUUUUGGUGUAGAAGCUGAAUUAUUAAGUCUGUCGAC